rnacentral:rRNA from 1 species
GACGAACGCUGGCGGCGUGCUUAACACAUGCAAGUCGAACGGAAAGGCCCUGCUUGCAGGGUACUCGAGUGGCGAACGGGUGAGUAACACGUGGGUGAUCUGCCCUGCACUUCGGGAUAAGCCUGGGAAACUGGGUCUAAUACCGGAUAGGAGCCAUUUUUAGUGUGAUGGUUGGAAAGUUUUUUCGGUGUAGGAUGAGCUCGCGGCCUAUCAGCUUGUUGGUGGGGUAAUGGCCUACCAAGGCGGCGACGGGUAGCCGGCCUGAGAGGGUGGACGGCCACAUUGGGACUGAGAUACGGCCCAGACUCCUACGGGAGGCAGCAGUGGGGAAUAUUGCACAAUGGGCGCAAGCCUGAUGCAGCGACGCCGCGUGGGGGAUGACAGCCUUCGGGUUGUAAACUCCUUUCGCUAGGGACGAAGCUUUUUGUGACGGUACCUAGAUAAGAAGCACCGGCUAACUACGUG